AAAUCCAAAAUCCAAAAUUCUCCAAUGAGCAUUUCCUUUGAGUGUCAUGUCGGCUCUCAAAAAAACUUCAGAUUUUGGAGCAUGUCAGAUUUUGGAUUUGGGAUACUCAACUGUAAAAACAAGAAAAAAAGAAAAACCCUCUCCAAAGUAAAAAUACCUAAGACACCAAAAAGGCAAUAGAGGUAAAAAUAGAUAAAAUGAACAUCAAAAUUAAAAAACUUCUUUGCAUCAAAGGACCCAAUCAAUGGAGGGAAAAAAGGCAAUCUAUGGAAUGGGAGAAAACAUCACAUAUCUGAUAAGAGGUUAAUAUCCCAAAUAUACAAAGAACUCCUACAACUCAACAACUAAAAGCGAAAUAACCUGUUUUAAAAUGGGCAAAGGAUUUGAAUAGGCACUUCUCCAUCUGAAUAGCCAAUAAACAUGAAAAGAUACUUAACAUCAAUUAAUUGUUAGGGAAAUACAAAUCAAAACCACAAUGAUACCAUUUCAUACCCAUUAGAAUGGUGGCUAUCAAAACAACCAGGAAAGUGUCAGCAAAAAUAUGGUGAAACUGGAACCCUUAUCCACUGCUAGUGAAAAUGUGAAAUG
rnacentral:lncRNA from 1 species